rnacentral:rRNA from 2 species
AGUUUGAUCAUGGCUCAGGACGAACGCUGGCGGCGUGCCUAAUACAUGCAAGUCGAACGAACUCUGGUAUUGAUUGGUGCUUGCAUCAUGAUUUACAUUUGAGUGAGUGGCGAACUGGUGAGUAACACGUGGGAAACCUGCCCAGAAGCGGGGGAUAACACCUGGAAACAGAUGCUAAUACCGCAUAACAACUUGGACCGCAUGGUCCGAGUUUGAAAGAUGGCUUCGGCUAUCACUUUUGGAUGGUCCCGCGGCGUAUUAGCUAGAUGGUGNGGUAACGGCUCACCAUGGCAAUGAUACGUAGCCGACCUGAGAGGGUAAUCGGCCACAUUGGGACUGAGACACGGCCCAAACUCCUACGGGAGGCAGCAGUAGGGAAUCUUCCACAAUGGACGAAAGUCUGAUGGAGCAACGCCGCGUGAGUGAAGAAGGGGUUUCGGCUCGUAAAACUUCUGUUGUUAAAGAAGAACAUAUCUGAGAGUAACUGUUUCAGGUAUUGACGGUAUUUAACCAGAAAGCCACGGGCUAACUACGUGCCAGCAGCCGCGGUAAUACGUAGGUGGCAAGCGUUGUCCGGAUUUAAUGGGCGUAAAGCGAGCGCAGGCGGGUUUUUUAAGUCUGAUGUGAAAGCCUUCGGCUCAACCGAAGAAGUGCAUCGGAAACUGGGAAACUUGAGUGCAGAAGAGGACAGUGGAACUCCAUGUGUAGCGGUGAAAUGCGUAGAUAUAUGGAAGAACACCAGUGGCGAAGGCGGCUGUCUGGUCUGUAACUGACGCUGAGGCUCGAAAGUAUGGGUAGCAAACAGGAUUAGAUACCCUGGUAGUCCAUACCGUAAACGAUGAAUGCUAAGUGUUGGAGGGUUUCCGCCCUUCAGUGCUGCAGCUAACGCAUUAAGCAUUCCGCCUGGGGAGUACGGCCGCAAGGCUGAAACUCAAAGGAAUUGACGGGGGCCCGCACAAGCGGUGGAGCAUGUGGUUUAAUUCGAAGCUACGCGAAGAACCUUACCAGGUCUUGACAUACUAUGCAAAUCUAAGAGAUUAGACGUUCCCUUCGGGGACAUGGAUACAGGUGGUGCAUGGUUGUCGUCAGCUCGUGUCGUGAGAUGUUGGGUUAAGUCCCGCAACGAGCGCAACCCUUAUUAUCAGUUGCCAGCAUUAAGUUGGGCACUCUGGUGAGACUGCCGGUGACAAACCGGAGGAAGGUGGGGAUGACGUCAAAUCAUCAUGCCCCUUAUGACCUGGGCUACACACGUGCUACAAUGGAUGGUACAACGAGUUGCGAACUCGCGAGAGUAAGCUAAUCUCUUAAAGCCAUUCUCAGUUCGGAUUGUAGGCUGCAACUCGCCUACAUGAAGUCGGAAUCGCUAGUAAUCGCGGAUCAGCANUGCCACCUCCUAGUUUGAUCAUGGCUCAGGGCUUUAGUUUAGAAGAUACGUGAAGAUGCUGGAAGGUAUGUCGUUAGCCAUGUGGGGUGCUCCUUUAUNCCUCC